rnacentral:rRNA from 1 species
UACGAAGGGGGCUAGCGUUGUUCGGAAUUACUGGGCGUAAAGCGUGCGCAGGCGGCUUUCCAAGUCAGUGGUGAAAGCCCGGAGCUCAACUCCGGAACUGCCUUCGAUACUGGCGAUCUUGAGUCCGGAAGAGGUGAGUGGAACUCCUAGUGUAGAGGUGGAAUUCGUAGAUAUUAGGAAGAACACCAGUGGCGAAGGCGGCUCACUGGUCCGGUACUGACGCUGAGGUGCGAAAGCGUGGGGAGCAAACAGG